rnacentral:rRNA from 1 species
GAUGAACGCUGGCGGCGUGCCUAAUACAUGCAAGUCGAGCGAACAGACGAGGAGCUUGCUCCUUUGACGUUAGCGGCGGACGGGUGAGUAACACGUAGGUAACCUACCUAUAAGACUGGGAUAACUUCGGGAAACCGGAGCUAAUACCGGAUAAUAUUUCGAACCGCAUGGUUCGAUAGUGAAAGAUGGCUUUGCUAUCACUUAUAGAUGGACCUGCGCCGUAUUAGCUAGUUGGUAAGGUAACGGCUUACCAAGGCAACGAUACGUAGCCGACCUGAGAGGGUGAUCGGCCACACUGGAACUGAGACACGGUCCAGACUCCUACGGGAGGCAGCAGUAGGGAAUCUUCCGCAAUGGGCGAAAGCCUGACGGAGCAACGCCGCGUGAGUGAUGAAGGUCUUCGGAUCGUAAAACUCUGUUAUUAGGGAAGAACAAACGUGUAAGUAACUGUGCACGUCUUAACGGUACCUAAUCAGAAAGCCACGGCUAACUACGUG